rnacentral:rRNA from 1 species
GGUGUUCUUCCCGAUAUCUACACAUUCCACCGUUACACCGGGAAUUCCAGUCUCCCCUACCGCACUCAAGCCCGCCCGUACCCGGCGCGGAUCCACCGUUAAGCGAUGGACUUUCACACCGGACGCGACGAACCGCCUACGAGCCCUUUACGCCCAAUAAUUCCGGAUAACGCUUGCACCCUACGUAUUACCGCGGCUGCUGGCACGUAGUUAGCCGGUGCUUAUUCGAAAGGUACACUCACCCGAAGGCUUGCUCCCGAUCAAAAGCGGUUUACAACCCGAAGGCCGUCAUCCCGCACGCGGCGUCGCUGCAUCAGGCUUGCGCCCAUUGUGCAAUAUUCCCCACUGCUGCCUCCCGUAGGAGUCUGGGCCGUAUCUCAGUCCCAAUGUGGCCGGUCGCCCUCUCAGGCCGGCUACCCGUCGUAGGCUCGGUGGGCCGUUACCCCGCCGACUACCUGAUAGGACGCGACCCCAUCCCAUACCGAUAUAAUCUUUCCCAGAAGGACAUGCAUCCAACUGGAGCAUCCGGCAUCACCACCCGUUUCCAGGA